rnacentral:lncRNA from 1 species
CCAGUGUUCACUGCAGCACUGUUUACAAUAGCCAGGACAUGGAAGCAACCUAAAUGUCCAUCAACAGAGGAAUGGAUAAAGAAGAUGUGGUGCAUAUAUACAAUGGAAUAUUACUCAGCCAUUAAAGAAGAAUGAAAUAAUGCCAUUUUCAGCAACAUGAAUGGACCUAGAGAGUACACUGAAUGAAGUAAGUCAGAGAAGGAGAAAUAUCACAUCACAUCCCUUAUAUGUGGAAUCUAAAAAUAAAUUAUAUAAAUCACAAAACAGAGACUCACAGACUUAGAAAAUGAACUUAUGGUUGCUGGGAGGAAGGGAUAGUUAAGGAGUUCAGGAUGGUCAUGUACCCUGCAAUAUUUAAAAUGGGUAACAAGCAAGGACCUAUAGUUUAGCACAUGGAACUCUGCUCAGUGUUGUGUGGCAGCCUGGAUGGGAGGGGAGUGGUAUGGGGGAGAAUGGAUACAUGUAUAUAUUUGGCCCUGUCCCUUCGCUGUUGGCCUGAAACUGUCACAACAUUGUUUAUUGGCUAAAUCCCAAUACAAAAUAAAAACUUCAAAAAAUGAAUAACCUGUUUUUGAGUUAUGAGUGAGACUUCUUAUCUGAGAACCAUGGCAUCAAGAAAAUCUCCAAACUUCUUGUCUUUCUUUUUUUUUUUUGGUUUUCUGUAGUCCCCAAAGGAUCAGAAUGUUUCAAGGAGGAUUCUGACACUGGCUAAAAUAAUUAACAGUGUACAUCAGUCUAUUCAGCUUCUGAAGAUUCGUGUCAGAGUUCAGAGGAAGGAGCAUCCCUGGAGACUGGGCCUCCACUGUGCCAUCUCUCCUGAACGUCUUCAUCCUGGAGAUUCCAGCGCCUUUUUAGUCGUGGCCCCGGUGCCCAGAGAGAUGGAAGGAGAGCCACACACACCACCAGGGCUCUGGGGGCUGCUCCGUAAUCCCUGGGACGAACGGGCCACAGGAGCUGCUUGACGCCCACAGUUCCCUGAGCCAGAGGACCACCCUCAUAUUCCUGAAAGAAAUCCAAGGUUAGUAUUUUUGAAAUUUGCACCCCAGGGACUCAUGAACACCCCACUGACCCCCAAACUUCCCUUUACUAGCUUCUGAUUCUUUCCAGGCUUGGGGCCUGGCCUCCUCAGGCAGCAG